UGGGGAAUUUUGGACAAUGGGGGAAACCCUGAUCCAGCCAUCCCGCGUGUGCGAUGAAGGCCUUCGGGUUGUAAAGCACUUUUGGCAGGAAAGAAACGUCAUGGGUUAAUACCCCGUGAAACUGACGGUACCUGCAGAAUAAGCACCGGCUAACUACGUGCCAGCAGCCGCGGUAAUACGUAGGGUGCAAGCGUUAAUCGGAAUUACUGGGCGUAAAGCGUGCGCAGGCGGUUCGGAAAGAAAGAUGUGAAAUCACAGAGCUCAACUUUGGAACUGCAUUUUUAACUACCGUGCUCGAGUGUGUGAGAGGGAGGUGGAAUUCCGCGUGUAGCAGUGAAAUGCGUAGAUGUGCGGAGGAAAACCGAUGGCGAAGGCAGCCUCCUGGGAUAACACUCACGCUCAUGCACGAAAGCGUGGGGAGCAAACAGG
rnacentral:rRNA from 1 species